rnacentral:rRNA from 1 species
ACGGGAGGCAGCAGUGGGGAAUAUUGCACAAUGGGCGCAAGCCUGAUGCAGCGAUGCCGCGUGAGGGAAGAAGGUUUUCGGAUUGUAAACCUCUGUCAUCGGGGACGAUAAUGACUGUACCCGAGAAGGAAGCUCCGGCUAACUACGUGCCAGCAGCCGCGGUAAUACGUAGGGAGCGAGCGUUAUCCGGAAUUACUGGGUGUAAAGGGAGUGUAGGCGGGACUGUAAGUCAGAUGUGAAAUAUGCCGGCUCAACUGGCAGACUGCAUUUGAAACUGCGGUUCUUGAGUGAAGUAGAGGUAAGCGGAAUUCCUAGUGUAGCGGUGAAAUGCGUAGAUAUUAGGAGGAACACCGGUGGCGAAGGCGACUUUCUGGACGAUAACUGACGUUGAUGCACGAAAGUGUGGGGAGCAAACAGGAUUAGAUACCCUGGUA